AUCGCUUCUCGGCCUUUUGGCUAAGAUCAAGUGUAGGAGAGGAAUAUGGAAUAAUUUAGGAAUGAAACACAGUGGCAUCCCUUUUAAUAAUGCAAUUCUGUCUACUCAAGAUGUAAGGCAACACGUUUACCUGUUAACAAAUAUCACAGCCAUUUGAGACAGAAAAAAAGGUUACUAUAUUGCUAAUUCUU